rnacentral:rRNA from 1 species
AUGCAGUGAACGGUGACGAUGGAGCUUGCUCUGUCUGAUCAGUGGCGAACGGGUGAGUAACACGUGAGUAACCUGCCCCCGACUCUGGAAUAACCGUGGGAAACGACGGCUAAUACCGGAUAUGAGACGCACAGGCAUCUGUGGGUCUGGAAAGAUUUAUCGGUCAGGGAUGGACUCGCGGCCUAUCAGCUUGUUGGUGGGGUAAUGGCCUACCAAGGCGACGACGGGUAGCCGGCCUGAGAGGGCGACCGGCCACACUGGGACUGAGAUACGGCCCAGACUCCUACGGGAGGCAGCAGUGGGGAAUAUUGCACAAUGGGCGCAAGCCUGAUGCAGCGACGCCGCGUGAGGGAUGAAGGCCUUCGGGUUGUAAACCUCUUUCAGCAGGGAAGAAGCGAAAGUGACGGUACCUGCAGAAGAAGCGCCGGCUAACUACGUGCCAGCAGCCGCGGUAAUACGUAGGGCGCAAGCGUUGUCCGGAAUUAUUGGGCGUAAAGAGCUCGUAGGCGGUUUGUCGCGUCUGCUGUGAAAACCUGAGGCUCAACCUCGGGCUUGCAGUGGGUACGGGCAGACUAGAGUGCGGUAGGGGUGACUGGAAUUCCUGGUGUAGCGGUGGAAUGCGCAGAUAUCAGGAGGAACACCGAUGGCGAAGGCAGGUCACUGGGCCGCAACUGACGCUGAGGAGCGAAAGCAUGGGGAGCGAACAGGAUUAGAUACCCUGGUAGUCCAUGCCGUAAACGUUGGGCACUAGGUGUGGGGCUCAUUCCACGAGUUCCGUGCCCGCAGCAACGCAUUAAGUGCCCCGCCUGG